rnacentral:rRNA from 1 species
UACGUAGGUGGCAAGCGUUGUCCGGAUUUACUGGGCGUAAAGAGCGCGCAGGCGGCUGGUCAAGUCCGAUGUGAAAUCUCCCGGCUCAACUGGGAAACUGCAUCGGAAACUGAUCGGCUUGAAGGUGGGAGAGGGUAGUGGAAUUCCCGGUGUAGUGGUGAAAUGCGUAGAUAUCGGGAGGAACACCAGUGGCGAAGGCGACUACCUGGCCCAUUCUUGACGCUGAGGCGCGAAAGCUAGGGGAGCGAGCGGG